UUUAACUAUUAGAUAGUACUCAGACAGCAGAGAUUCAAGAGUUAGGGGUCCUCUGGCAGGCGCGGUCCAGCCGAAGCCAGGGGCCUGCCAAAGCAACAAAGUUUGGUAUGCAAAGGGUGAGAAUAGUGGCUGUGAAGCCGGUAUUCUUUAAUGAUCCUUCCGCAGGUUCACCUACGGAAA
rnacentral:misc_RNA from 1 species